CUAACUUAUAUUACAGUCAUCUUCCUAAUUGGAUGAACUAAAAGUAUUUAAACGGGAAAUUAAACAUUUAUAGUUUCAGAAGCCCUAGCUUUCUGAAACCGGUAAAAUCGAUUGAUCGAUCAAAUAUCAGUUGAAGAACCAGGAAAAUCUCCCAAUUCCUCUUAAAUCUCUCGCUGCUAACCAAGUUUGAGUUGAAAAGGAAAUUGAGCUUGAUUGUUGAGUAUUUGCGAGGUUUGACGGGUUCUGGUGAAUGGAAUUGUAAUUAUAAUUUUGCAAGAAUCUCCCUCAGCAAACAGAUGGGUCUCUUGUGGUGCCAUCAAGUUUAUUGAGCAUAUGAUUAGGGAUACUUCUUUCUAGAAAAUCGAGCUAAGUAAAACUCCUCGAUUUCGUUGUGAAAUUGCUUUGCAGUUGUUCAAGAAACAAUUCAUAGAGGUUCCAUGUGAUUAAUGUUUUGAAGAAUGUUGGAUCCUUGAGUAGUAUUUUGGGUGCAGUCUGCCUGGCUAGGAUGGGAAUGGAGUAUUGACCCGUUAUCUCCAUGGGCCUCAUGGUACUGGUUACAAUUUCUGUAAACUAAAAAGGGUCCCAAGGAAAACGAAAAUCAGUCUCCAACUGUUUUUAAUAACCGAAUUGCCCAUGCAAUCGCCAAUUCUGUUUUCAAGCAUAUAUUAGUGAAUUUAUUUUCAUUUGAUUUGUGAUCGUUAAUUCUCCUUUUCUAUAAUUCCAUCCUAAAAAUGUCCGACAACUGUUUUUAUGCCGCUUCGAUCUGUAAAUAGCACCACUUACAUUAUAUUGUCGCAUGGGUAAGUAAAAUAGAUAAAAUUAGGAAUUUUAUCCUUUUUGAUCA